UACGAAGGGUGCAAACGUUGCUCGGAAUUAUUGGGCGUAAAGCGCACGUAGGCGGCUAUCUAAGUCGGAUGUGAAAUCCCUCGGCUUAACCAAGGAAGUGCACCCGAAACUGGAUAGCUUGAGUACAGAAGAGGAUCGCGGAAUUCCCGGCGUAGAGGUGAAAUUCGUAGAUAUCGGGAGGAACACCAGUGGCGAAGGCGGCGAUCUGGGCUGAUACUGACGCUGAGGUGCGAAAGCGUGGGGAGCAAACAGG
rnacentral:rRNA from 1 species